AGAGUUUGAUCAUGGCUCAGAAUCAACGCUGGCGGCGCGCCUAACACAUGCAAGUCGAACGAGAAAGCCGGAGCAAUCCGGUGAGUAAAGUGGCGUACGGGUGAGUAACACGUGGAUUAUCUGCCCUUUUGUGGGGAAUACCGCUGGGAAACCGGCGACAAUACCGCAUAAGCUCGAGAGAGGAAAGCAGCAAUGCGCAGAAGGAGGAGUCCGCGGUCGAUUAGUUAGUUGGCGGGGUAAAGGCCCACCAAGACUGUGAUCGAUAGCCGGCCUGAGAGGGCACACGGCCACACUGGCACUGAAACACGGGCCAGACUCCUACGGGAGGCAGCAGUGGGGAAUCUUGCACAAUGGGGGAAACCCUGAUGCAGCGACGCCGCGUGAGCGAUGAAGCCCCUCGGGGUGUAAAGCUCUUUCGGCAGGGAAGAUUAUGACGGUACCUGCAAAAGCAGCUGCGGCUAACUACGUGCCAGCAGCCGCGGUAAUACGUAGGCAGCAAGCGUUGUUCGGAGUUACUGGGCGUAAAGGGUGCGUAGGCGGCUUUUUAAGUUUGGUGUGAAAUCUCCCGGCUCAACUGGGAGGGUGCGCCGAGUACUGAGAGGCUAGAGUGUGGGAGAGGAAAGUGGAAUUCCUGGUGUAGCGGUGAAAUGCGUAGAUAUCAGGAGGAACACCGGUGGUGUAAACGGCUUUCUGGACCAUAACUGACGCUGAGGCACGAAAGCGUGGGUAGCAAACAGGAUUAGAUACCCUAGUAGUCC
rnacentral:rRNA from 1 species